UACAGAGGUCUCAAGCGUUGUUCGGAUUCAUUGGGCGUAAAGGGUGCGUAGGUGGCGCGGUAAGUCGGGUGUGAAAUUUCGGAGCUUAACUCCGAAACUGCAUUCGAUACGUGCCGGGCUUGAGGACUGGAGAGGAGACUGGGAAUUUAACGGUGUAGCAGUGAAAUGCGUAGAGAUCGAUAAGGGAAGACCAGUGGCGGAAGGCGGGUCUCGUGG
rnacentral:rRNA from 1 species